rnacentral:rRNA from 1 species
UACGGAGGGUGCGAGCGUUGUCCGGAAUCACUGGGCGUAAAGGGCGCGUAGGCGGCUUCUCAAGCGUGUGGUGAAAGUCCGGGGCUCAACCUCGGAUCGGCCGUGGCGACUCGUGGGCUGGAGCACUGUAGAGGCGGGUGGAAUUCCGGGUGUAGCGGUGGAAUGCGUAGAGAUCCGGAAGAACACCAGUGGCGAAGGCGGCCCGCUGGGCAGUGGCUGACGCUGAGGCGCGACAGCGUGGGGAGCAAACCGG